AUGAAAACAACAAGAAUAUUGGUUUCCUAUGCUGCAAACUUAGGGUGGAAGUUGCAUCAAUUAGAUGUCAAGAGUGCCUUCUUGCAUGGUGAGCUGCGGGAAGAAGUGUACAUGGGGAUACCACCAGGUUUUGGUACUUCAGAAACCACGAGGAAGGUAUGCAGGCUGAAGAAAUCCUUGUAUGGACUGACACAAUCAGUGAGGGCAUGGUUUGAUAGGUUCAAGCGUGCUGUCUGCAGUAUGGGUUAUGGUCAGCAUAACGGUGACCGCAUGAUGUUCUGCAGACACUCUUAUCGGAAGAUUACCAUUCUUGCAUUUAUGUGGAUGACAUUAUCAUCACUGGAGAUGAUAAGGAGGAAAGAGAUAUUGAAGGGGUGUCUAAGCAAGGAGUUUGAGGUAAAGGAUUUGGGCUGCCUAAAAUACUUCCUUGGCGUUGAAGAAGGGCAUAUCUUUGUGCCAACAGAAAUACACCUUGGAUCUCUUGAGUGA
rnacentral:rRNA from 1 species